AUCGAACGCUGGCGGCAGGCCUAACACAUGCAAGUCGAGCGAGCGGCGGACGGGUGAGUAAUGUAUGGGGACUGCCUGAUAGAGGGGGAUAACUACUGGAAACGGUGGCUAAUACCGCAUACUAUCGGAUAACCCAGAUGGGAUUAGCUAGUAGGUGGGGUGAAGGCUCACCUAGGCGACGAUCUCUAGCUGGUCUGAGAGGUUGAUCAGCCACACUGGGACGGAGACACGGCCCAGACUCCUACGGAGGCAGCAGUGGGGAAUAUUGGACAAUGGACGCAAGCCUGAUGCAGCCAUGCCGCGUGUAUGAAGAAGGCCUUAGGGUUUUAAAGUGCUUUCAGCGGGGAAGCGUUACCCGCAGAAGAAGCACCGGCUAACUCCGUGCCAGCAGCCGCGGUAAUAC
rnacentral:rRNA from 1 species